rnacentral:rRNA from 1 species
GUAAAUGUUGAUUUUUUAGUUAAGAUUGAUUUUGUCUUUUUCAAUUGGCUUUAAUUUAAUAAUUUUAUAUAUAAGUUUUAUUGCGGGUUGAUAAAUUAUCUAAAUGAUAAUUUUAUUUUUAUUUGUAGUUUUUGGUAUUGUAUUAUUUUGGGAACAAAGAUUCAGUUAAUUUAUUUUAGAAUUGUUAAAAAUUGUGCCAGCAUACGCGGUUACACAAUUAAUUCAAGUUAAUUUUUUUGGUUAAUAUUUAUUUUUUUUAUUGGAGAUUAAUUUGAUUUUGUUGGGUGAAAUCUUAAUUUUAAUUAAUAUUCUCUUGGUUUAAUAUUAUAUGAAAUUUAGAAUUUGAAACUAGGAUUAGAUACCCUAUUAUUCUAAAUGUAAAGUUUUGGCCAUGGUAUUAAUAGUUAUGAUCUUUAAAUUAAAAGAAUUUGGCGGUAAUUUAGUC